CUUAUUCUUUACGUUCUAACUAAUAUUUGAAAAAUGAAAAAAAGAGAGUGUUGAUUCUCCCAACAAACGAUCAGAAUCUAUAUUGACUGAUUUGUUAGUAGGCUUUUGUAGGUGUGAUAGUAUUGUCUAAUCAAGUUCUUUAAAUAAUUUUUGGGAGAAUUGCAACUGGGUCCUAAAUCUUCCAAAUUGUUGCAGACUAUACUCAAAUCAUUCAUUUUUGCACACACAAUCUCAAACAUUUCAUUUCGAUUGCAACUGGAUGAUAAGUCCAUUUUACAAUCCAAAAAUCAAUUUGACCACAUUUUGAUUAAUUUUAGAAGGAUAAAAUUGUAAUUUUAUGUCUCCCCAAUAAAAUAAUAAAACCAAACAACGAAAAGAAAAGAAAAAAGAAAACAAAAGAAAUAAUUUGGAAAAGGUUCAUCUUCUUCCUCACCCNUGUCAAGGACCGCAG
rnacentral:sRNA from 1 species